UGAAGAGAAACUUUGUUCCGUCGCAUGGCAGCACGCUUGUUGAUAUUUUCUAUAAAAUUGCAAUUGGUAUUUUCUAUAAAAUUGCAAUUGGUAUGACGAUGAAAUUAGGAUAUUGUCUAAAAAAUAAUUGAAAGUGAAAGUUAUGCGCGGGAAUUAUAGUUUCAGACAGUUAAGCAGCACCUGCUAUCGCUCGCUUCAAAACGAACCCAUCAACAACAAGCUCCAAAAUGCAACAAAAACCUCAACCCCAUCGAAGAAAACAUUAACCCAAAAACGCAGCGAACCUAAGAACAAGAAGUCAGCCAUUUCAGACUCGGAAAUUGUGAAAUGGAACAUGUCCAUUACCACCCACAUGCGCAAUGGCCAAUGGGAGUCAGCCCUCCAAGUCUUCAAUUCAAUGCCACGACGGAGUUCGGUCUCUUACAACGCCAUGAUAUCUGGGUACCUGUCGAAUGACAAGUUUGGGCUUGCACGAGACAUGUUUGAGAAAAUGCCUGACAGAGACUUGGUUUCUUGGAAUGUGAUGCUUAGUGGGUAUGUGAGGAAUCGGAAUCUUGGUGCUGCUCGUGUUUUGUUUGAUCAGAUGCCCGAAAGGGAUGUUGUGUCAUGGAAUGCUAUGUUAUCUGGGUACGCACAGAAUGGAUAUGUUGAUGAGGCAAGGAAGAUUUUUUAUAGGAUGCCGGAUAAGAAUGAGAUAUCAUGGAAUGGAUUACUUUCAACAUAUGUGCAGAAUGGGAGGAUAGAAGAGGCUUGUAGGUUGUUUGAGUCGAAAGAGGAUUGGGAAGUGGUGUCUUGGAAUUGUUUGAUGGGUGGGUAUGUAAAGAGGAAGAGGUUGGUUGAUGCUAGACGACUUUUUGAUCAGAUGCCUAUGAGAGAUGAGAUUUCUUGGAAUACUAUUGUUACAGGUUAUGCGCAGAAUGGGGAGUUGUCAGAAGCUAGGAGAUUGUUUGAGGAGUCUCCUAGUCGGGAUGUGUUUACGUGGACGGCGCUGGUAUCUGGCUAUGUGCAGAAUGGGAUGCUGGAUGAAGCAAGAAGAGUUUUCGAUGGGAUGCCAGUGAAAAAUGAGGUUUCAUGGAAUGCAAUGAUUGCAGGAUAUGUGCAGUGCAAGAGAAUGGACACGGCAAGGAACUUGUUCGAGGCAAUGCCUUGUCGAAACAUCAGCUCUUGGAAUACUAUGAUUACUGGCUAUGCUCAGAGUGGUGAUAUUUCUCAAGCUAGGAAUUUGUUUGAUAGGAUGUCUCAGCGUGACAGCAUUUCUUGGGCGGCAAUUAUUGCUGGUUAUGCUCAAAGUGGUCAUGGUGAAGAGGCUUUGCAUCUAUUUGUGAAGAUGAAAAGGAAUGGUGAAAGAUUAAAUAGGUCUGCAUUUACUUGUUCUUUGAGUGCAUGUGCCGAUAUUGCUGCUCUUGAGUUGGGGAAGCAAUUGCAUGGGCGGCUAGUUAAGGCAGGAUUGGAGACUGGGUGUUAUGUGGGGAAUGCACUUCUUGCAAUGUAUUGUAAAUGUGGAAGCAUAGAUGAAGCAUAUGAUAUUUUUGAAGAGAUUUCAGAAAAGGAUGUUGUCUCAUGGAACACAAUGAUAGCAGGAUACGCAAGACAUGGAUUUGGCAAAGAGGCUAUGACGGUUUUUGAGUCAAUGAAGACAGCGGGUAUCAAACCAGAUGAUGUCACUAUGGUUGGUGUGUUAUCUGCUUGUAGUCACACUGGGUUGCUAGAUAAGGGCACUGAAUAUUUUUAUUCAAUGAAUUGCGAUUAUGGUAUAACAGCAAACUCAAAACACUAUACAUGCAUGAUUGAUCUUCUUGGCCGAGCAGGGCGUCUGGAUGAGGCCCAGAAUUUAAUGAGAAAUAUGCCUUUCGAACCAGAUGCUGCUACAUGGGGUGCUCUACUUGGUGCAAGCAGGAUUCAUGGCAAUACUGAAUUAGGUGAAAAGGCUGCUAAGAUUAUUUUUGAGAUGGAACCUGAUAACUCAGGAAUGUAUGUUCUUCUCUCAAAUUUAUAUGCAGCUUCAGGUAGAUGGGGCGAUGUGAGCAGAAUGAGAUUGAAAAUGAGGGAUAAUGGUGUGAAGAAAGUACCUGGGUAUAGUUGGCUUGAAGUGGAGAAUAUGGUUCAUACAUUUUCAGUUGGGGACUCCUUCCACCCAGAGAAGGGCCGAAUAUAUGCCUUUUUAGAAGAAUUGGAUUUGAAAAUGAAGCUGGACGGGUAUGUUUCUUCUACAAAAUUGGUUUUACAUGAUGUGGAAGAGGAGGAGAAGGAGCAUAUGCUGAAGUAUCACAGUGAGAAAUUAGCUGUGGCAUUUGGAAUUCUUUCUAUACCAGCUGGGAGACCAAUCCGUGUGAUGAAAAAUUUGCGGGUGUGUGAAGACUGCCACAAUGCUAUCAAACACAUAUCCAAGAUUGAGGGAAGGUUGAUAAUCUUAAGGGAUUCCCACCGUUUUCACCACUUCAGUGGUGGUUCAUGUUCAUGUGGGGACUACUGGUGAGGUGGAAAUGCUACAUUGCUGUUUCAAGUCUAUUCUCUGGACUUAGUGUUAAAUCCUUUCAGAUAAACAGAUUAUAAUAUCCUAGUUGUUUGAAAAUUUUAUCAACUCUUCUGAGAGAAGAUUGGAAUCAGAUGUUCGUUCUUUGUCCUUUUUUAGUGGAUAAAAUUGCAUGUGCAAGAAAAUCUACUUCCUAAAUUUCUCAGGAUAGGUGGAAUAACGUUGGAUAUAUGCAGAAAUUCUGGACUAAUUACUGAUUAUAUGGAAAUAAGAUUUAUCUCUGGUUGGUAAUGGGAGCUGUGUCUCAUAUUAUUUUUAUUAGAUUUCAAAUUGCAAACAAAAGAGAAGGUUCAAGGUGGAGUACAUGGUGAAAUAAAUAAAAGCUAGAAACAGUCAGCUGAUCCUCGGAGAAAACAGCUGGACAAGUGUUCUUCACGGAGGCGAUAUCACUGAGGUAUUUAGAAGCAAUGUCUCUUCUCAGAUUCAACCUCCAGUUUUGCUUUCAGUUAUUGAGGAAGGAAGGCCAAUCUGCCAAAACUUCACGCCAUUCCUAUUGAAAAUGUCCAUUUUGGCAAUGUGAUAAUAACUUCACCUGAUGAGCCUGGAGAAUAUGGAAGAAAAGGGUCUUCAUAGUGCCAUUUGAGAUGCUAAUGUCUACAUGGGCUGUAUAUAAAAGUUUGUCGAUUCUAGCUUACGCAAUCUAUGUCCUUUGUUUAUCUUUGUGCCUUUUUUUUUUCUUUUUUUUUUGUCUUUUUGGGAUUCAGUACUGUCGCUCUGUUCAUUUCAUGUUUUCCUCUUCCUAUUGAGUUCCGGAUAGUUUGGAUUGACCGAUUGGACUUGACAUCAACUUAGAAACUAUUAUGCCUUUGCAAGGGAAUCAACAAUUCAAUAUGAGUUUUUUUUUUCAGGUUCAAGAAUGAUUUGUAUUCUCAACUGACAAGUCAAGAUGCAUCAAUGAAAUAUCCCUCUUUGCAUGUUCUUGAUCAAGGCAAUGUAAAUGUGUUGAAUUUCCUUUCUUAACAGUUUAUGGUAAUU